rnacentral:tRNA from 1 species
GCCCUUUUAACUUAACUCAGUGGUAGAGUAAUGCCAUCGUAAAGCAUAAGCCCUCGGUUCAAAUCCGAUAAGGGGCU